UUCGUCUCUUCAUUAGAGCGGCAUGACUGUUUUCCCAAUGUAAGUAUUGCAUAUAGAGUUCUGUUGAUCAUUCCUGUGACAGUUGCAUCGAAAAGAAGUUUUUCUAAGUUGAAGCUAUUGAAGUCCUAUAUGCAUACUACUAUGACACAACAAAGACUCAAUGAUUUGGCCACAAUAGCACUUGAGAGUGAAGUGUUGGAGGAUAUCAUUGAAUAUUUCAUUUCAAAGAAUACUAAAAGAAUGAAGCUUUUCAAAUAA
rnacentral:rRNA from 1 species